AAUUCCUAGGAAUUCUGGCUUUGAAAGUCCGUCAAGUCUGCUGAAAAGACAACAGGACAAGUGGUAAUAGCCAGGUGACUAUUCUGGGGUGUGGUUAAAGAAGAAGCAAUUAAGAAUUUAAGUUAAAAGAGAGAGAUGAACAGGGUAAGUUAAAAAAAAAGUAAAAAUAGGAAAAAUAUAGGCUAAAAGAACUUAUUUAAUGAAGAAACUAUAGAAGAG
rnacentral:lncRNA from 1 species